rnacentral:rRNA from 1 species
GUAGGGUGGGCAAGCGUUGUCCGGAAUUAUUGGGCGUAAAGCGCGCGCAGGCGGUCCUUUAAGUCUGAUGUGAAAGCCCACGGCUCAACCGUGGAGGGUCAUUGGAAACUGGGGGACUUGAGUACAGAAGAGGAAAGCGGAAUUCCAAGUGUAGCGGUGAAAUGCGUAAAGAUUUGGAGGAACACCAGUGGCGAAGGCGGCUUUCUGGUCUGUAACUGACGCUGAGGCGCGAAAGCGUGGGGAGCAAACAGGAUUAGAUACCCUGGUAGUCCACGCCGUAAACGAUGAGUGCUAAGUGUUAGGGGGUUUCCGCCCCUUAGUGCUGCAGCUAACGCAUUAAGCACUCCGCCUGGGGAGUACGGCCGCAAGGCUG